rnacentral:rRNA from 1 species
AUUGAACGCUGGCGGCAGGCCUAACACAUGCAAGUCGAACGAGUGGCGGACGGGUGAGUAAUGUCGGGGAAACUGCCCGAAGGAGGGGGAUAACUACUGGAAACGGUAGCUAAUACCGCGUAACAGCGGAUGUGCCCAGAUGGGAUGAGCUUGUAGGUGUGGUAACGGCGCACCGAGUCGACGAUCACUAGCUGGGCUGAGAGAAUGACCAGCCACGUGUGAACUGCGACACGGUCCAGACUCCUACGGGAGGCAGCAGUGGGGAAUUUUUCACAAUGGGCGUAAGCCUGAUGCAGCCAUGCCGCGUGUAUGAAUAAGGCUUUCGGGUUGUAAAGUACUUUCUGCGGGGAGGCGUUACCCGCAGAAGAAGCACCGGCUAACUCCGUGCCAGCAGCCGCGGUAAUUC